rnacentral:rRNA from 1 species
AAUGAACGUUGGCGGCGUGGAUUAGGCAUGCAAGUCGAGCGAGAACCCCGCAAGGGGGGACAGCGGCGAAAGGGACAGUAAUGUGUAGAUUAUCUGCCCUCAGGUCCGGGAUAGCUGCGGGAAACUGCAGGUAAUACCGGAUAACAUCUCCGGAUCAAAGGUGUGAUUCCGCCUGAGGAUGAGUCUGCAUCCUAUUAGCUAGUUGGUGGGGUAAUGGCCUACCAAGGCAUUGAUGGGUAGCAGGUGUGAGAGCACGACCUGCGUCAUUGGGACUGAGACACUGCCCAGACACCUACGGGUGGCUGCAGUCGAGAAUCUUCGGCAAUGGGCGCAAGGCUGACCGAGCGACGCCGCGUGUGGGAUGAAGGCCUUCGGGUUGUAAACCACUGUCAGAGGGGAUGAAAUGCAGGUGGGUUCUCCCAUCUGUUUGACAUAGCCUCAGAGGAAGGACGGGCUAAGUUCGUG